UACGUAGGGAGCAAGCGUUGUCCGGAAUCAUUGGGCGUAAAGCGCGCGUAGGCGGCCCGAUAAGUCCGCUGUGAAAGUCAACGGCUCAACUGUUGGAUGCCGGUGGAUACUGUCGGGCUAGAGUACGGAAGAGGCAAGUGGAAUUCCUGGUGUAGCGGUGGAAUGCGCAGAUAUCAGGAGGAACACCUAUAGCGAAGGCGGCAUCCUGGACCGGCAUUGACGCUGAGGCGCGAAAGCCAGGGGAGCAAACGGG
rnacentral:rRNA from 1 species